rnacentral:rRNA from 1 species
GAUGAACGCUGGCGGCAGGCCUAACACAUGCAAGUCGAGCGAGCGGCGGACGGGUGAGUAAUGUCUGGGAAACUGCCCGAUGGAGGGGGAUAACUACUGGAAACGGUAGCUAAUACCGCAUACGAUCAGAUGUGCCCAGUUGGGAUUAGCUAGUAGGUGGGGUAAUGGCUCACCUAGGCGACGAUCCCUAGCUGGUCUGAGAGGCUGACCGGCCACACUGGGACUGAGACACGGUCCAGACUCCUACGGGAGGCAGCAGUAGGGAAUAUUGGGCAAUGGGCGCAAGCCUGAUGCAGCCAUGCCGCGUGUGUGAAGAAGGCCUUCGGGUUGUAAAGCUCUGUCGGCAGGGAGGCGUUAUUUACAGAAGAGGCACCGGCUAACUCCGUGCCAGCAGCCGCGGUAAUUC